AAUCAAACAUUGACAGUGCCAUAGUAGCUAGUAUAGUAUUUUUUGCACAAGAUGCAUGGGGUAUUCACAAACAUCUUAUGGUAUAUAGAAUUUGUCGCAUUUGCUGUAAUAUUGAUCGUUUUUUUCUGCUUCAUUUUGUAUUUAGCCAAUUUGAAUUACAUUUCCUACAAUCUCCGAUACGACAUGAGGAAAAAGUACAUGGCUGAUGGCACUUGGUUGAUUCAGAAUUAAUGAAUGAUUUGGAUAGGAAAAAACAAAUAAUAUUUCUUCAUCAAUAUGCCAGGAAAAAGCCGAUACCACAAAUUCCAGAGCCUUACCAACGGCCAGUGUGUUACGACCUCGGCUGCAUUUGGUUUUGUCGAUUAAUGAGCUGUAUAGUCACUAUAGCUGUAUGUUACUAUUUUGCCUAUUCCUUAAUUACUAACACCAAACUCAAGUUCGGUAUGUUCGUGCCUUAAUAAUAUUAAAAUUUAGUUUUAUACCUAUAUAAUGAAAUCUUUUUAAACAUUCUGUAUUUUUGUGUUGCAUUUAAUAUAUUUAUGGUAUUUAUAUAUAUUAAUUUUAGA